UACGUAGGGUGCAAGCGUUGUCCGGAAUUAUUGGGCGUAAAGAGCUCGUAGGCGGUUUGUUGCGUCGGCUGUGUAAUCCCGAGGCUCAACCUCGGGUCUGCAGUCGAUACGAGCAAACUAGAGUGUUGCAGGGGAGACUGGAAUUCCUGGUGUAGCGGUGAAAUGCGCAGAUAUCAGGAGGAACACCGGUGGCGAAGGCGGGUCUCUGGGCAACAACUGACGCUGAGGAGCGAAAGCGUGGGGAGCGAACAGG
rnacentral:rRNA from 1 species